CCCCUCCCUCUCUCACACACACACACAUUCCUUUCCUCCCCGGAGAGGCCGCGAGCGAGGCGCAGGCGCUGCCGCUGUUCCAGAGCCAGGGACACGGGCUUCGCCCCAGCUGCUGGGCUUGGGAGCAGCCUGAUCCCGGCGCUGCCCGGCACACGCCAGCGGGGACCCCGCUCCAUGCCACCCGCGGGGACCCCGCUCAAUACCACUCGCAGGGACUGCGGCCGGUGCCAGCCCCGCUCCCAGCGGGGAAUCGCAGGGGCCUGUCCCUCCUGGGCGGGGGCCAUCAGGCCCCAUCUCUCCGCACCAUGCAUCCCUCACCCGGCUCCUAAGCCACCCAGCGCUCCCUGGCUUCCCCGAUGGGUCAGAUUUGGCACUGCCCGGGAGGGGCUGUCCCCACGAUUGAGCCCAGGGCAGGAAGCAGCCACGCAUCCCCUCUUGUCCCUCCCCAGCCCCGCCGCCGCCGGGUCCUGCCUGUCUCUGAUUAGCAGAGAGGGGCUGGGGCCGCUCGUGUAGCCCCGGAGGGGCUGUAUCGGCUUUCAGAGGGCUAAUGAGCCCCAGCUCCCCGGGAGGGGAGAAAGGCCACGAGCUAAUCCACGGGGAGCUGGGCCCAGCCCAUGGUGCUGAGCGGGGAGGCCUCCCUGGGGCAGGCGGCCCCGGCCAAGCCCUCACAGCCGCUCUGAAGGCGAGGGGCUGCUCCCAGCCACUAUGGCCUGUGCUAAACCACGCCGCCGACAGCCCUCCCUCAUGGCCGGACUAGGUGUCAAAGGCUUCCCAAGGCUGUGGCCACGAUGCCACAGCCAGAACUGUGCGGGCCCACCACUCGCAUGAAGCCAGCAGAGAGAGCUCGGUGUGUUUUGGGUAGGUGACUACCUUCUCCAAAAUCUUUCUCACCAACAAAGACUCUAUGGAGGCUUCCACCAGUUCUUAUUCCUAUGGACAAUUUAAAAAUUAAAAACAACAGCCUGGAAACACUCCCUCCGCCCCAGUGGGAAGGACAUGAGCUCAAUAGCCACAUGCAAGCUUUAAUUUUAAAUGAAUAAGCCAAGCCACCUCAGCCCCAGCAGUGAGCAUCAUCCAGGAGCAAGGCACACGGGAGCCUUGCUUCCCUGCUCCAAAGCAAGCUCAGGUGCAGAAACUAGAAAAUAAACACUUGAUUUCUUGCAAAGCCCUAGACAGGAGCUGGGCAGAGAGGGGCACACUGAGCAGGCAUGGCACACCACUGGCGACCGUAAAGAAAUGCUGGAGAGAGACUCACCCUGGGACCUGCGCAGCCACUUUAAUGGAUGUGGUGUCCCCUCUCCACAAAAAGUCCUUUGAUGAACCGAAAGCUCUCUGACAAUGCCUGCAGAUUGUAUUAACAAAACUUUUCACACAGAUUCAAGAAUUUACAAAAAAACCCCAAACCACAAAACAAAUCCCCCACACAGCACAAGCACUUGUUCCCUGAAACUGAUAUACCCACAUUGAAAACCAGCGGCCAGCAAAAAGACCUGCUGCAAUCUGGAAGCGAAUCCUUUUGAAGAGAUUAAAACAAAAGCUUUUCUUAGCCUCCUUCCCCCCUCAACGGGAGAGCUGUAGUUGUCCCUGCAGCAGGCAGCCUCUCUUUCCCCUCUUCCCUUCAGGCAGAAGAGUUACAAAUGCUGGAGUUUAACAGCGUCUUUUUAAAGGACUUUUAAAGGACUUUCUCAGCCCUUUGGGGUGUCCUCCCCCAGCCUGAACUCCUGCAGUUGAAGAAGCCCCUGACACUCUCUAAUCUAAAAUUUAUGCAGAGCAUACGCUUACUAAAAAAGCCAUCCUUCAGGGAAGGCUUGUUUAAACUAUUCAGCGCAGCAAAACAGUGUUUGUUGCAUUAAAAUAGCCAAGUGGAAAAGUGGCUAAACUUUUUUUUUUUUUUUUUUUUUUAAUCUUGGCUGGCUACAUUGCUACAGUUUUGUUUGGAAUAGCAAAGCUAAAUUAACAGACAGUUAUUUUCUAACCAGACGACACAGGAUGCACAAGAAAUUUGGAAUACUAAUGUAUCACCACAAAAAUAACUGGAAAGGAUGACACAAAACACAGUAUGUUUUUUUCAGUCUCCAAUUUAGGGAGAAAACAGCUUUUUCUGUGGACCAGAGUUCUUGGAACAGUUUAAGCUUAUGCCAAGAAAAACAUGUUGCAUUUGUGAGUUAAAAGUAAACAGAAUCAGACAAACAGAAACACAGUUAUGUUUAUCCCAUUAGCAGUCUUAUAAUACCAUAUUCAAAAAUAAUAUCUGUCGGUUGUACCUCAAAAUGUAGAGUGGCAACUUCUGAAAGUAAAUGUCGGGAAGUGACACUUAAGUGUGUCUGAAUUGGAAAAAGACUGCUUUUUCUCACUGUAUCAAAAUGAGCCAGGUAGCUCAUCAUGCUGUGUUACAAAUAAUAGUUGCACUAAUGCUUAUAUUUAUUACUAAGUGGACACGUAAUUAAAAAAAUCCUCAAAUAGCCUAAUGGUUUGCUCACACACUAUUUUCUACAACACAGUAACCAAUGCAUCUCUUAUUCCACUUUGGAAUAGCACAACACUUGUUUUUCUUUAACAGAGUAUCAGGAAAAGCUACAUUCAUAAAAUGGGGAGCAUUUUCUAAUUUAGAUCAGAACUAAUCAUAAUUAUUGUGCUAACUAAUAAUCCUCUGGUUCAAAUGCAACAAAAGCUUAAGUAUUGCCACAUAUUUUAAAUGCCUACCCAGCACCCACAGAGGUGCAAGGAGGCAACAACUCUCCAAUAUCUUUGACUUUGUCCGUGCAAAGAAAUUGUGGUUUCACAUCAGUGCUUUGAUCUGUUUUCUCUCAGAUUGUGAUAGCAGAAACUUUACAAUAAACAUAUUCUUAGCUAUAAAUGAAAUAAAAAGCACAAGUUCAAGUCAGAAAUCUAUUUCCUCUGGUGUUACUGUAUAUUUGUCAGUGUGACAUAGCACAUUUGAAACCCAUAAUCAUAAAACAAAAAUUUACAGCCAAGGUUUAGGGUCUACAUCUGUUUCUCUGGUUUUUGUACUGCAAUUACCCACUGGACAAUUCAGAAAGCAGCACUAUGAAUCAUGUACUGCACACAUGGUAGUGCUGGUCACUUUUUUGUUAGUACAAGAGGCUGAGGAUGCCAUAAUGUGCUUCACUGAGAGAGAGCAUUAACUAGAAUUAGGAUGAGUGCACCAGGCUCUCUAAUAAAAAUGACUUUACUAGAAGCAACAGAGCACUUCUGGAACAUUACAGGCAUAUUUAUAGCAUGGAAAAAUUAAGAAGUGCAUGCAGAAAUUCUCCCCAACUAAGUACCUCGGGGGAAGCAGACUUUUUUUUUUCUUUUGCAUGCAUUUUACUAUUAAUCAAAUGUAGCACUCUCUUGAAACAGUUUUGACAGCAGAGUAAAUGGUUACUAGUGAAUGAUGUGUGUGUUUAAGCAGUGAAAGCAGAGACAAAGUGAUGUUUUCUUCUACUCCCUAGGCAAGAGCUGACACUAAGCUUGCUGCCUCAGCUUUGAUACUCACAGAUUCCUUUGUGUCAGUUGCUGGGAGAAUCACUGGCAGUUCACUAACCCUGCCUCACACACAGGGGCUUUGAUUUUUACCUCUUCAUUGACGAUAGAUGUUAAUAUGAAACAGUACUUGCCUGCCUUGGCAGUUUUUUUUUCCCCUCCCCCCAGCUGGUGAUCUGAAGAAUCUGAAAACCUGAAUUCCCCCGUCACUACAUGUAGUUUUUAGUGUUGAAGGAUGAUUUCUUCAUGUCUUGAGCACAUGAAUGAUGUCAAAAAUUAUGGGGAAGAAAAUCACUAGGUCACAAGAGAAUGACUGAAUAUUUAAAACUCUAAGGUAGUCCUAGGAAAUGGGUAUCAACUGUGAGCAAGAAUUGCCCUGAAGAAAGUAAAACAGUAAAAUUACUGGCAUGAAAUGGCACAAAUGACAUGGAAAAAACAUGAAUUACAGUGAAAUUAAGUAAAAAGGGGGUUUCUUCAGUCUGCUAUACACUACUAUGCACAGCUUGCAAUGACUGAAACAGGAAUUUGUACUAAGAGGAAGAAUUAUUUCAGGCCUGAAAUAUAACAGCAACUGGCGAAAGACAAUUCAGUGCAGAGCAGUAUUUUAUUUUAGAUGGCAAAAGCAGAGUUAGUCGUCUCCAGACCCAGAAUUCAGGCAUGCAACCAGUUUGCAAAUCACUUACUGAUAAAGGCUUUUUGUCUGUUUUAAUCAGCGGAUAUGUAUUUGUAAAGAUGCCUUUAAAGCUGGUUGCUUAACUUAAAGGCUACCGAAAUAAUUAAUCUCCACAAACUUGAGCAUACACCAUGUUUCUUAGAAUCCAUACAAUCCUUUGGCCUAGAGCCAGGGGAGAACUACCCUACAUGAUAAAACUGGGAGUUUAUCUGUCUCAGCAAUCCAUUUCAAAGAGUGACUGCUACUAGAUGUUUCUAAGGAAAAUACAGGAAUCUCUAGUGAUUGGCAAAGUAUAACUUAACCAUAGGUCCUCUAAUAGCCUAUUCUCUAACAGCAAAUCUCUUAAGUAUUAAAGCAUGAGAUUUAAUAUCCCUUCCAAAUUUUUUUUGUAAUAUCCCUGAUAUUCUAGAAAGUCCUAUAUAGCCAAUGUCCUUUGGGAUUGCGAUAAACUCUUAGCUCUGUGACACAAAAGUAGGUAGUAAGUUAUUAGGCUUUGAGAUAAAGAAGGAUAAAAAGUUUGUUUAAAAAAAAAACAAACAAAAAACCACUUAAAACUCAUCCACAUUGCAAAUAAAGGAGAGACCAAACUGCACCUUUUUGAGGCCCCAAAACUGAUGGCUGCAGGCUCCUGAAAAGUUGGCAAAGAGGCAAUGACAUCACGUGCAUGAAGAGGGGACAACAUGCAUUUUUGAAGGAUAUAAAAAGAAAAGAACAUUAUUAGAUUAAACACUGGCUAUAUACUGAAUCUACACUUGCUGUUUAUGAGGAUCCUGCAGUGCAAACACCACUGCUAAAUGGUUGCCAGAAAAAAAAAGAAGUGAGGGAAAAAAAGUUUGCUUCAUUUUCUUUUGUUUUUAAAUGACUAGAAACUGCUGUUUCAAGGUUUAGCCAAGUACGAGAUUUUUACUGUUAGCCUAUAAAUCCCUCAAAACAUAGAAUUAUAAUGGAAAUGCUGAGGUAACUGGAGUGCCUGGCAUGGCACUGACACAUUGCAUUAUAUAAUCCAGGGAGAAUGAAGGUUGGGACAUCUAUAAAAUCUAAGCAGAAUCAAGAUUCAUGAAAGAGCAGAAGAACAAGUAGAAAUGCUAAAUAUUAAACUGCAGAGAAUACUACUACUAACAAUAAAGCUUCCUAUAUGCUGAAUAUGCUUUUGGUUGGCUGAAGGCAAAAGAGCACAGAGCUCCAUUAAAACUAAAACAGAGAUUAAAAAAGGCUGUUCAAGUUUGUUUCUGCCUUUUUAAGGAGGUAGAAAAAAGAAAGUUGCCUAACAAAAAGAUAGUAUUUCCUGAUGUUCUGAUAUCCUGAAAGGUGUCUAAGAAUGUAUAAAUAAUUCAAGAACAUGCAGAAUAAAUGGGAGUUCCAAACAUAGGCAUCUUACCACCCCAGCUGUAACCAGAAUCAGAAUAGAAACUGGGACAACUGUACUUCUUCUACAGGUUCACUAAUUUCAGCUUAAACUCUUGAUGAAAAGUUAGCCCUGAUGGCUUUCUUCUAGAAAAAGACCAAAGUUACCAAGCAGUGACUGGAACUCCAGCUCAAUACAUACAUAUAUCCUAACAAAGACUAAUCUUACCCAAGCCCUAUUUCAUUUAGGUCAGACUUAAGCUGCAUUUAAGACUUGUGCUCCUGCGCUGCUGACGAGGACAACAACAGAGGGAUGGCAGAGGCCUGAGACAUCUGAAACACACUUGAGCAGAGCUCUGAUCACAUAAAGCCCAGUGCAGGUGGGACUGGAUUAUGCCAUGACUGUAAACUGCGAUAGACCCACACUCGGCAGCUUGACAUGUGUAUUAAUGACAAUCCAGUUCCCACUUAGCUAGUUCCCAAUCCUACAUCAAACAGUGAAAGAACAGCCCAGUGUCCUAUCUCUGGGUAUCUCAGAAAGAAGAAUGAAGGGGUGAUUGGAAAAUAUGUUGGCAUAGAUACCUGGCUAGCAGGGGUAAUGAUAGCAAUGACAAUGUGGUGACAUUGCCUGAAAUCUGCUGGUAAUGAUGACCAUUAUGCCAACACCUCCACUCUGCCUGUUGCCCUACUGCACUGUACUUUCACACCUUUGUUUCUGUCAUGCAGAUGUGCUUUCUGUUUGGGAACAGCCUGCAUAAAUUUUUGCUGUAAAUGAGGUGGAAUUACCCAGAAACUGAAGUAUAUAUUUAGCAAAUAGAUGUCUGGUUUCUUUUGUAGAACACGUGCCAUCAAUAAUGUGGGAAUUAACUGAGGGCACAUGUCCUCUGAGGGACACUGUUAUCACUGUAACUUUAUUGAUGUAGCCUGAAAAGUAAACUUUACUAAUGGGGUCAGUUUUACAAGCAUACAGGUUAUCAUAGUGCAACUACUGUUGAGCAGGUAUGGAUUCUGUAUAUUCCUUUUAUACUACAGUAACUGGGUGGUGACAGGUAACACUCUUUCAAAAAGGAGCAACUGCUUCCUCACCCUGUAUUGUUAUACCAAUGUAACAUUCAAACACAAAUGAGAUCUCAGGAAAAGUCAGGCUGGGCUGGACCUCACUUGCAUUCAAAACAAGCAAUGGCACCAUCAAUGACAUCCAGUCUGAAAUGUUCACAAGAUGUUUCCUGGUUUUCAAACUCUACUAGAAUAUACGUAUCAAAUUGUUCUUUGGUGCAUUCCUCAAAUUCUACUUGACCUGUGCAAUUUAAGCCAACAAAGAAAACUAUGCAUGGUCCCAAGCAGCUUCACUAAGCUAGUCCCCCAUGAUUAAAUAGAUCUGCAAAUUCUCAUACUCUUAGAUUGCAAGUUUCCCAUAUUGGACCACAGAAGGGAUUGAAUGUCCACACAUAUUAUAUCCAUGUUCAGGGAAUCACAACUGACACAUAUACUUCAAUCAAGGACAACUUACAGAGCUGGCAUACAGUUAGAUAUUGUGGUGGUGAACAGCACACUGCCCCAGGCUUUGUGCAGUAUCAUGGAUUUUUUGCCCUUUUGAGACCUUUAGUCCAAAUAUAGUGGUGGACAUGCAAGCUGGCUAAGCAUGCGGUGGUCCCUCAGCAUAUCAGGCUUGACAGAGCUAUAAAACUAUCAAACUAGUUUUGCAUAAACUAGACCAAAACUUCUUCAUUUGGGUACCUUGGCCUUUCUUCUGACUGAAAAGUUCUGCCCAGACCUUGUCAUCACACUGAAAGAAACCACUUCUUUCAAUCCAGUCACAGUUUUGAGCAAGCAUCCUCAAGAAGAGGCUUCUCAUUCAUGAGACACUGAUCUUCCAUGUAUUGUUAUCAGACUGUUAGGAAAACAGACUUACUCGACUUCAUAUGAAGACAUGGGAAGAAGAAUCUGUCCUUUGCCAAAUGGCUUUGAGAUCUCACCCUUACUGCAUCCAUCCAUUCUAUCUUGGGCACGAAUUAUGCCAAAGGGUACACCAAAAGACAGGGUUGUGGCCAAGCUCUUUCAAGGAAUUAUCAAGAUUGUUGGAUGGGUAAAGUCAGCCUGAAUCUAUAGAAGCUUUAAUUAGAAGAAAUGCAUGGGCACAUUCUUAAUACUUAGAAAUGUGUUGUAAUUCUCCUUAAAAAGUACAGCAACUUCUUAUCCCCAAUCAGAUAUUAAACAACAAGUUGGUGCAUAUAUGCUAAUUAAAAUCUUAAAAAAGUUAAAGGUGCACCUGUUGGAUUCUUAAACUUGUCUAAAAAUUGUUAGGUAUUUUAUUUUAUUUUAUUUUAUUUUAUUUUAUUUUAGUUUAGUUUAGUUUAGUUUAGUUUUUUUUUUUAAAUUUUUAAACAGACUUACUAAGAGCAGAAGUGCACACACCACCGAUAGUAAAGCCUAUACUACUAGCUGAACAAUGCAGGAACAUUAUGUCACUCAGAGGUAGAACUUCACAAGCAUUGCAAGAGAGGCUAAGAGCUUUGCCAACAAAAUUAUCAGACAGAACCUCACUGGAAAAAAUGAGGCACAAAGAUCUAAGUGAAGUGUAAAACUUACUGAGACUUGAACGACAUGUUGACAGAUACCACUCCACUCUCUUGCUUCCUAUCAGAACCCAACAGCCAAAGCAGAGAUUCCUAAGCAGUGUUUUUACAGGCUAGGCUUAGUCUCUCCCUCAUCUUAUCAGUAGCCUUCAAAGGGACUGUGGGUGGAUCUCCUCCAGGGAGGAAAAAAAAAGAAAAAAUAAAGCAACAAAAAACCCCUCAGAAGUGCCACCUCUUCCAUACAAAUAUAUUGGCGCAACCACAGAGACUUUGCCUGAGCUGAGAAAACACACCUGGCUCUUCUAAAGGAGAAAUUAAAGAAUUCAUGCUUCAGCCCUCAAGCCUUGAGUGGCCUUAGAGAAGAGGAAUAGCUAAGGAGAGAGUCUAAUCAGGACACAGGGAAAAUCAAUACUCGCUUCUUGAAAUACCUUGGGCAGGAAGGAACAGUUUAAGGUUGAGACAUUUUUCUGCUCUUUGCACAGGAAAAUGUGCUGAAGACUGCACAGGCAGAAUUGGACUCAUGGUAGAAUGGGCAUUAAACAAUGCUUGGAAAGGCAGGCACCAGUGACACUGCUCCAAUUCAGAAAAGCAGGGUAAGACUGCUUUUAUAACUUUCCUUUACUCUGGAAGACCCAAGGACACUCUUACCUGAAGGCUAGAGGAGAAAAGCCUUGAACCAGCUAAAAUUCUGAAAGAGUUUAAAACUUUUAAACAUCACCUUUGUAACAAGUGGCAAGAUGAUAGGUACGACCCUGGCUGCCAAACAGAAAACUAGAGAAAAAGAAAGUUAAGUAAUAUUCGUUCAUGGCGCACAAGAAGCAAAAAUUAUACCCCAGUUCCCCUGCUCUCCCCUCCCAUGCUUUCACCACAGGCCUAUUCAAACUCUGCACCCCCACAAGGGCUCUGGGUACUUCUAUCAACAUUUCAUAGGAGAAGAUUUUUUUUGACAGAGAACACAAAAGCUGCUUUGUGUGAAGUCUGGACACUUUUUUUCUACCUAAUAAAAACAUGAAUAGAAGUGGGACCUCAGCAAGCAUAUGGCAGAAAGUCUGGACUAACUGAAAAAAAGGGGCCUAGAAGAGUUUGCUCUCUGUCAUUCCCCACCGUGUUUACUGGUGAAUGUAUAUGGUGUAAAUAAGGAGUAUGCAGAGCAGUCCAUAAUGGAACAUUGUUUAUGUGCACAUCCUGGCAAAUGCAUAUACAGCAUGGAGGCUAUUUCCAAGAAGAACAUAAACACAAAAGGGGAGUGAUGACAAACAAGUAUUCCAAGGCAAGAAAAAUGUUAUUCCAUAUACAAACCAAACAAACUAAAGUGGUUUCUCCCCUGCUAGGAUCCAACUGGCAGAUCUCAGCUGCACACACUAUGUAGCUGUUAAAGAAAUGAGAGACAUUCCAGGCUAACUGGUUGGCUUUCUUUUUCUUAAGAGACCUUAUUAUGCUCCCAAUAUUAAAAAGAAAAACACAGUUAAUAUUUUAUUUUACUCUCUUGCAAAAACACAACAAAACAAAACAGCCCUUUCUUUCAGCCUGCAUAGGAGCUGGGGAGAUACAGCUGAUGCCAAGAAAACACCAUAAGGAAUUAAGUCACAGUUUUUCUAUUUCGAGUUCCCACUGAAAGAUAGAGAUGGUUCUUUCUUCUGCAGGUCUCUCUGACAAACCUAUUACACGGCUUUAGCAAGUGACACCAGUGUGACAAUAACUUAGAGGUUUCAUGCUCCUGGCAGAUUUUUUUUUCUUUUAAUCAUUACUCACAUUAAAAAAAAAGAGGGUUUAGAAAACCCAAGUCCCUGCAAUUUCAAGAUAGCAAACCAGGGGGAUGAACCUUUUUUUUUUGUGUGCUUACUUCUGGAGAAAGAUGUAUCGUGCUUUGAUAGCCGCUAUGUAAAUAAAUGCCUGUAAUUUUAUUCCUUUAAAACUAAUUUCAAACACCCAGCUAAAGGAAGAAGAAAAGUUGACAAGUAGGAAAACAGACAGUAGAGUGACAACAAGAACCACAAAAAGUCAACUGAUAAAUCAGAGCUUUUAAAAUAAUUAAUAGGCCUUUUUAGGAUAUUAGACACUAGAAGCUAGCAGCUUUAGUAGGAGAUCAUAGGAGGUCCAGAACAAAAAUACAUUGUGAUGUCUUACGCAGAAAUGCAGACCCAGCCUCUGGUUUUAGCCUAUUUUAAGAUACUCAGAGUGCGCCUCACUUUCUCCAAAGCUCUAGGUAUACACCCAAUUAAAUUGAAAUUGAAAUUCAAGUGCUGGACUGGUGUCUGCACCUAUAAGUAAGAUUUCUGCUACUCUGUCAAAACCUGGAUGCAAAUGUGCCAUGCUCUGCCUUUAUGAACUCUUGGAACUUGGGUGCAUCACUCAUUGGGAAGUGAUAGAACCUGGGCUGGGAAUACUGGUAACAUCUUUACAAUGUAUAGACAGUCCUUUAUGGAAUCAUAUUAUCCUUUCAUUUUCCUUUUUUCAUGUGUCACUUCCAUUAUACAAGACCAAAAGAACCCUCACAAAGCCUCUCGCUGGUGACUGGUUUGAUAUUAAUACUUUUCAAUUAAAAUCACGCUUCAGAAUCCAGAGGAGGCUUAUAAAUUUUAUUUUUUUUUUAAUUACCCCUGAAUGCACACCUACCUCAUCCCAACAUGACCUUAUGCACGCCCACUGCUUGGGUUUCUGUUCAGCUGCUUGCAGACUUGUACAGAGCCUUCACUGUGCUUCACAAAACAACACAUUGCUCAUAAUUACUCUUGGCUGCAUGGACCACUUACAGCACAGCGACAGGGAGGGUGCACACCAAUGCCAAGUACAAGCUCCCAUGCUCUUUCUUCAUUACAGAAGGUAUUUCUGGUGGCUGAAUACCUUGUGCAUAUUAGAGCUGUUGCCUGUAUGAAGGGAAGAUUUUUGUGAUGUGUGUUACACUGGGCAACCAUACGGCAAAGAAGAGGAUCUGUGAUGGCUUUUGCAAAGCUGAGUCACAGUGGGUGCUCUAAAGAUUUUAAACAAAAAGUGUUUUAGUAAGGCUCCACAUCUUACCACUUAGUCUUAAAGAAAGGUACUAAACUAUGGGAAGAAUCUUGAAAAAUUUUGCCAAAUUUAUAAAAUUCACAGUGAGAUUUAAGGAAUCUUUUUUAUUCUCUUCAUCAAAGUUUCACCAGUCAAGCGAGCCGCUCAGUUUUCAUCUGAGAAGUUUUUUAAGGACUCACGAGAAUGGCCUAUAAACAUGACCAGACUGGCAUGUUGAAAGGCUAGGAAACUGAGGGAUAAGGAAGAAGUACUCUAAAUUACUAGCGCUAAGCCUUUUAAUUUGUAUGUCAGCGUUAAGAUUUAGUUUACAUUUGAGGCUGACAACACUGAGCAAUUCAGACAGGCUAAAGUGAAUUCAGUACCUGCAAAAGAGGAAACAAAGGUACUGAAAAGGUACUGUGAAAACACUCUGAGUUUUGUAUUCCUUACUAACUGUUGUUCAAGAUGUGCAAUCUUAUACUUUGUUGUUUACUGGACAACUACAUAAAAAGUAGUAUUCUUUAUAUACUCCUCCUAUCCCCCCUUUAAAUUAAAAUUGAGUUGUUAUUUUAACCCUACUCAAGUAUGUAAUAUAGUGAUGAUUGUAAAUCUUUAUGAUCACAAAAUCCCUUUGAUUUAUCCCUCAGUUUACUAGCUUUAACAAACAUAAUCCUAAAAGCAAUACAGAAGAAGAUCUUACAGGCCUUCAAAUGAUGAAGAGGGAGCAGGGAAUGACUACAUAAGUAAAGCUACAGCUUCAGGGCUCAAGACUUUCCCUUUGGGAGGCUUUCUGAAUGCUACUAAUAAGGUCCUGCCAGUGGAACCAGAAGAAUAUCUUCAUAAAAAAAGACCUUCAGUGUGGGAAGAUACAAUUUUCCAGAAAAUUUUUAAUAAAAAGCUAAUAGAUGUGGGACCUGAAUCUAACAAUAGACAUAAGUAUGUCUAAAUAUACAGGAAAACAUGAAUAUUAUUAAAGGUGGCAAGUCCAUCCUGCCUACCCCCCACCUCCAGAUUUGUAGUCACGAAAUGAGGAUAUUCAAAGCUUAUGUGAGGAUACCAGACUCAGCUUUCCAGUGUUGGUGACCAUAUGGCAACAGCCAGUUAAACACACAAAGAGAAUUAUUUCCUUUUCUGCUCACUAUUCCACGCUGUGACAGCCAGAAGAAAAUACAUGGAUAUUUAUGUCUGCAAAGCAAAGCAUAUCUGCCUUGUCUAUCAGACUUGGCCUUAGCCAAGAUGCAGUCACCACCCUGCAUCCCAACUGACCCUCUGAAUAUUUCGAGAAUUUGUAUUAAACCAACAUUUUAGCGCUAACUCUCACAUAUGAAUUCCAGAGGGUCUAUGCACAGGCAUGACAAUUCAUUUUGUCUGUACCUACACUCAUAAAUACAAUGGGCCAGAGCUCAUUUCCAGCCCUGAGGCUCAGCUUGCAUUCAUAGCAUCUCCCACUCCAUAACAGCACUGGCUUGGGGAUAACUACAGAGACAGUUCCUCCCUCAGCUGCCCCGAUCCACCCCUGGCAUUGCUGGGGAGAGGAGGCCUGUGUGCUACCUGUCAGCAUGGACAACUCACAGGACAUGACCUCAGCCCAUGCCCUGACCCUGCUUGUUUUUCUGAUAGCCUUUGAACCCCUGCAAUUCACUCUAUCCACCAACAUGGGCAGGAACUAAGCAAGUCUAAGAGUUUCCUAUGGCUUUUGCUGGCUCCCAGGACAGUUCACCACACUCUAGUGCAGAAAGAGCCCAUGUGAGUAGGUGUGAGACUUCAAGCCCAUGAGAAGUUCCUGAAAACAAGAACUGCAACAGCCACUGUCUUUUCAAGCAUCAUUGCUAGCAAAGGGCUGGAGUCCUUCCAUGAGUGUUCUCUGCUGUCCAUGAGUGUUCUCUGCUGUCUCUGGAGCUGCAUGGUUUGGGGAAGAGCUGCCUCCACUUGGCUAGAAACACUUAUGCAACACUUUUAUAUGCUCACUGCAUCUACACAAGAAAUCUGAUCAACUACCUUCAGAAGCCACCCAAAAACUUUAGAAGCUUCCAGCUGGCUCACUCAUUUGCCCAUCUUGGGUACUCACAUAUCUUAUAUAACAUGCCCUUAUUAAAAAACACAGAAUUUUUAUGGGUUUUGUACUGCCCAAUAUUGAAGUAUAUAUACAACAAGUCAGUGCCUUCAGUGAAAUCAUCCUCCUCUUCAACUGAGAUAUGGAGAUGUAUCUGAUGAAAGAGUGAAAAGAGUUUUUUAUAUUUUUCUCUCCUGCAUGUAUCUUCCAAAUGGGCUUGGCUUACGUAGGAGUGAUGUAAUACCUCUUUUGAAGACGUACUUAAAGGGUCACAAAGUAGGAAAAUAUAACUUGAACGCAUCAAGAGGACAGUUUGUCACAUGGGAAUUCUGGUCACCUAUUUGUCUCUUUGUGCUGGCACAGGCACAUGAAACUGGAGAUGUUUAAAUUCUAACUUGUGUCCAAAUGAGACGGAGCUGUUACUUUUUAUAUUAAUGUGCCCUGAUGCUCAUCCCACUGCAUAUGUAUGUGCAAAAUGACUAAGAGGUUUCAUUACUGCAAGAUAAUGGUGCACCUUAAGGACAACAAAGUCAUGUCCCUGUUUCUGCUCUGCCCAUGAAUUUCCGAAGGAAAAAUACAGUAUUCAGAAUCAGAACUGGCCAUGCUGGCAGAUGAAGAUGCUGCUAUGGCAGCUUGGCGGUUCAAUACCAAAGGAGAAAGAUGCUUAGAGACUCUGAUGAUCUGAAAGACAAAUGAGAUCUCUACAAACAGAAAAUGCUCGAGUGAAGCAGAAGUACAACUGCCUGCAGGUAACAGAGGAUAAUUCAAGAGAGUUGUGUACCUAGUGUAAGUUCCUGACAAAGGAUACAGGUCACUCAAUACCUAUAAAGAUUACUGGGGUGAUACUAAGGCUGUUUCACAAAUAAUCUGAUUAACACGAGCUUCUGAAGAAGGCUCAGGCUGAAAAAGGACUUCGAGAUUAUGAGCUUUGGAAACUGGAAAAAUAGAAUUACCAUCAAAGGAAAUUAUCAGGAAGGAUGAAAGGGAAUGGAAAGCACUUGGAAGAGCCCUGAAAACAGCUGCUAGCCUUUUUCCUUUUUAUGAGCAUUCAGGUGGAAAUAUCUGAAGAUACCAGAGCUCCAGUUCCAAACAGCAACCAUAACAGGAACAGAGCCAUUACUCAAGGUACCUGAACACCUCCAUCACCCUGGGCAACUGAUAAUCAAAUGUAAGUAACUUCCCUGAAGGAAAGCCACAGUAAAAGAGUUCAAUACAUUUCUGAAUAUUGAUUCCUUCCAGAAACCUGAGCAAUCCAGAUAGGACUAAAAGAAAACGGGACAUCAGUCUUUAGUGUAAAAUCAGUUACAAUCCAAUUAAGCAUCUACCAGAAAGCCAACAUAAACACUCACAUGAAGCAACAAAAAACAAAACCAUGUUGUAAUAGUCCUCUAAAAUCUAACACCAGAAGAUGAAGAGACCUGGCCUGUUUCACAGCCAGAGACAGAUGAUUAAAACAUAAAACACACAUGUCAGAAUAAAACCGUUAAAUAAAUCAUUUUACAAGGAGGAAUUCUAAGGUUUAUUUCUACUAUUUUCUUGGCAACUAGCUAAUUACCUGCUUAUAUCUUCUUAAGAUGAGGAGGAAGCUGAAAAGAGGCCAUUAAUAAAUCAGAUGUUCCCCAGCAGCCCCAUGCCUUUAAACACAGUGGACAGCAGUUUUUACUAUGGGAGAGUAUAGCCAAGCUCAUAACAACAUUACUCAAAAAGUCCAAAUAGCCCUUCAGCCGCCAGUCUUCUCAAGUGUUUGUGGGGAAAAAGUCCAUUAAGAAAACUCUAGAAUAUACACACAUGGAAGAAAGUGAAGAAAUGAAGCACAGCGGAGCACAAAGGCUCACGUCAGGCAACCACAGCAAGGAUUCCGCAGCGCAGGCACGGCAUCAGAGCAGCAGGACCAACCAGAGCAGGUCAUGAUUGCAGACAGAAAGAAAGCAUUCCCUAUGGCCUCAUGGAUAGACACCACUGACCAUUCCUAGGUGCAUGAUCACGGCUUUGCCAUGAGCACUGAAUACCUGCAAAAUACAGCCAGGCUGGGGUGGCUGGAGUCAGAGCUUUGUGAGAUCUUCCCAGGAACCCUCCCAUGGCUGGACAUGGCAACAUGGAGAAAGACCAGCAUAGCAAGGAGAGGAAAUUACCAAGAACAGUCUUUAAACAAUACUCUAAAAUAUGAAACUCAUUACUUCACUGGACAGAAUCAUCUAGUCAAAACAAAAGAUCUGAAAUAAAAAUUUAGCUUUCAACCGUAAUAUCUGAUUCAAAUUAAAAUUACAUGAAGAAGCCAAAAAAAUCCAAACACAACCACACCUCUUCCACCAAUGUAAUGGGAACGAGCACCAACCUUCAUUAACACCAAAUCCAGCAAGAAUAUAGGCUGUCACUCAGCCAUAGGUAAAUUAAUCUAUUCAGAAAAUUUUAUUAAUUUUAAUGCAGUUGAUAAAUGCUCAGGAGUGUAUUUGCAGCAAAACAUGACUAGGUAAAGAAAGUGGCAGAAGAAACACACUGCUUCCUCCAGCCAAGGCAGAGGACAAUCACCACCAUGCCCUUCUCAGCACUCCAGAGAACCUGUCCAGAGCAGCUGCAGCUGGAAGGACAGAUAAGUGCCCUAACAGCCAUCUCGUGACAGGGCUCAUAUGCCCACAGCCCUUGGGAUAUCACCAGCAAGGUUUCAAAAGGGGUUUAUUUAUGGAAGACAACCAUUCAGACCAUAAGCCCUCACACAGUUGCAGUUCCAACAGGACCAGGCAGAACUAGAGCAUUACAAGAUACUGCUUGUCCUCUGUAAUGCCAACUGUUACUAUGGAAAUAGAAGGAAAUUUUCUGGAACUUGCCAAAUUCAACCAAGAGCUGCUGCACCUACAGUGACCUAAGGUGGACAGACCCAACCACCUGUGCCAGUGGAGCUGUCACUGGGAGGCAAAAGGCCCUGGCAAAAUGAGGUUACUGAAGGCAGUGCAGUAGGAAAGAUCAGGCAACAGAAAGGCUUGAAUGGAUAAAGGAUCCCAGAGUGAAGAACCAUAAGGAAAAGGGGGGUGGGCAGUGGAAAGCAUGAUAGGAGAAAAAAUGGAAGAGAAGGAUGAUGCAGGAAGAGGCACAUCAACACGUGUCACUGAAAAAGGUCCAGAAUUCAAUGAUUGCCACAGUAAAUGCUACCCAACCAGUAACACCGGCCCCUCCCAGCACACCAUCCAGCAACCUGCAGAAGGCAGAAUUCAUCUUAGUGUUUUGUUGCCAAGGAUUUGAGUGCAACACAGUUAUUUGGCAAGCACUGAGCCUUCAAAUUCUAUUGAAUGUGUUUCCCCUAAUAAAGCAGAUUUAUUAAUACACUUCUAUUUUUACAUGUGAUUUUUAGAAACUGUGUCAUCCAAGAGGUACACUGCAGGGUGGAAGAAUAGAGAGGCAGAGAGAGGGAAUAGAUGCCUUCUAAGUCUUGCUCACUGAGACUAAGCUGUUGGGAAAGCAGCACUAGGAGAGCAGCAGAUAUGGAGCAGACACCAAAAUUGUGAGUGGUGAUGUUAGUGAGGAUGCUGCUUAUGCAGACAUGUGCAACAGGGCCACACGGCUCUGUUAGACACCCAGAGGUUCUCCAACACAGCUGGAUCAAGCCUGAGUUAUGUGUCAGGUGAAGGCAAAAGCCAACAUUAAAAUUCCUGCAAAGGCUGGGCAUGGUCAGUGUUACUGUUUGUGAAGUGCCACAGAAGCUCUACAUUUUUCAGACACCUAAUGAUAUUGAGGCACAGAAAGAAAGCUAAACAAAGAGCUUCAUUCACUCCAGCUCCAUUAAAAACACAGAGAACAAAAUCAGUUCCAGACAUGUGGGAAAGAACCAACAAUUGCUAGC